UACGGAGGGUGCGAGCGUUGUCCGGAAUCACUGGGCGUAAAGGGCGCGUAGGUGGCGGUCCAAGUCAACGGUGAAAGCUCGGGGCUCAACCCCGAGUCGGCCGUCGAUACUGGGUUGCUUGAGCACUGUAGAGGCAGAUGGAAUUCCGGGUGUAGCGGUGGAAUGCGUAGAGAUCCGGAAGAACACCGGUGGCGAAGGCGGUCUGCUGGGCAGUAGCUGACACUGAGGCGCGACAGCGUGGGGAGCGAUCCGG
rnacentral:rRNA from 1 species